rnacentral:rRNA from 1 species
GUCGGAUUAGCUAGUUGGCGGGGUAAAGGCCCACCAAGGCGACGAUCCGUAGCUGGUCUGAGAGGAUGAUCAGCCACACUGGAACUGAGACACGGUCCAGACUCCUACGGGAGGCAGCAGUGGGGAAUAUUGGACAAUGGGCGCAAGCCUGAUCCAGCCAUACCGCGUGGGUGAAGAAGGCCUUCGGGUUGUAAAGCCCUUUUGUUGGGAAAGAAAUCCAGCUGGCUAAUACCCGGUUGGGAUGACGGUACCCAAAGAAUAAGCACCGGCUAACUUCGUGCCAGCAGCCGCGGUAAUACGAAGGGUGCAAGCGUUACUCGGAAUUACUGGGCGUAAAGCGUGCGUAGGUGGUCGUUUAAGUCCGUUGUGAAAGCCCUGGGCUCAACCUGGGAACUGCAGUGGAUACUGGGCGACUAGAGUGUGGUAGAGGGUAGCGGAAUUCCUGGUGUAGCAGUGAAAUGCGUAGAGAUCAGGAGGAACAUCCAUGGCGAAGGC